AACGUAGGUGGCAAGCGUUAUCCGGAUUUACUGGGCGUAAAGGGUGUGCAGGCGGAUGGCCAAGUGGUGUAUGAAAUCGCCCGGCUCAACCGGGCGGGGUUAUGCCAGACUGGCUGUCUAGAGACCGAGAGAGGGGCGUGGAAUUCCGGGUGUAGUGGGAUGAACGUAGAGAUCCGGAGGAACCCCAGAGGCGAAGGCGGCGCCUAGCUCGGUUCUGACGCUCAGACACGAAGCAUGGGGAGCGAAACGGG
rnacentral:rRNA from 1 species